AUGAACGCUGGCGGCGUGCCUCAUCCCUGCCAGUCGAGCGAACAGACGAGGAGCUUGCUCCUCUGACGUUAGCGGCGGACGGGUGAGUAACACGUGGAUAACCUACCUAUAAGACUGGGAUAACUUCGGGAAACCGGAGCUAAUACCGGAUAAUAUAUUGAACCGCAUGGUUCAAUAGUGAAAGACGGUUUUGCUGUCACUUAUAGAUGGAUCCGCGCCGCAUUAGCUAGUUGGUAAGGUAACGGCUUACCAAGGCAACGAUGCGUAGCCGACCGGAGAGGGUGAUCGGCCACACUGGAACUGAGACACGGUCCAGACUCCUACGGGAGGCAGCAGUAGGGAAUCUUCCGCAAUGGGCGAAAGCCUGACGGAGCAACGCCGCGUGAGUGAUGAAGGUCUUCGGAUCGUAAAACUCUGUUAUUAGGGAAGAACAAAUGUGUAAGUAACUAUGCACGUCUUGACGGUACCUAAUCAGAAAGCCACGGCUAACUACGUG
rnacentral:rRNA from 1 species